GACGUAGGAGGCGAGCGUUAUCCGGAUUCACUGGGCGUAAAGCGCAUGUAGGCGGUUUUCUAAGUCCGCGGUUAAAGCCCCCGGCUCAACUGGGGGAGGUCCGUGGAGACUAGAGGACUGGAGGGCAACAGAGGCACGUGGAACUCCCGGUGUAGCGGUGGAAUGCGUAGAGAUCGGGAAGAACACCAGUGGCGAAGGCGACGUGCUGGGUUGCACCUGACGCUGAGAUGCGAAAGUGUGGGGAGCAAACGGG
rnacentral:rRNA from 1 species